GCUGAUCAUCUGGUUAUUGGAUAACCAACUGGCGUGCUCUUCCGUGGGGAAGACUAUUUCUCCCAGUGGGUGGACCUUCAUGACAAGUUUCCUCUGGAAGGGGAAUGAGGGAUGGUGAGACAUGGUCUACUCAUCUUUGCUCCCCCAUACCUGGAAUGUUGCUAGACAUAAGAAUUCAGAAAAUCAAGAUAUAGAGCUCUCAGAUCCUUCUCUAGUACGUCUGCCUGCAUGCUGCUGUGGUUCCUGUCAUGAUGAUAAUAAACUGAACUGCUGAACUGUGGAUCCAGGUGUUGAAGCGAGGAUCGUACCUGAGAUGACAGAGGACAGCUUGAUCGCCUAAGCAGAGGAACUCAUGUCGUCAAGCAAUGCGCAAUACGUCUCGGCGAUGUUCACCACAUACAUGCAGUUCUCAACACUGAUCUCUCGGAUCAGAAAAUCACUGCACAUCUUCACGAGAGUGUGGAUCUGAAGGUACACAGCAGCGGAGACGAUGCUCC